AAUGUCAGACAUUGCUGGAUGGCUGCAGCAGCUGUACACACUCUACACUGCUUGUGUUUUCUUCCCAUCUUCCGAUCCCUCUACUGACCUCUCUGGCCACUUUUUGUCAUUACAGGUAAAAAUAUAUAUAUAUACAAUCAAUAAACUUUUACGCUGUGACACUUCGGGCCAAAGGUCUUGCUACGCUGUGAUUGAUAUUAGAUGCCAGUCCUCACUCCUCUCCUUACCAGGCUUGCCAUGCGUCCCGAUUGCGAUGUCCUUUUAAGGGGUGUGCUGAGCCGUUGAAACUUCUCGGGUGGUAUGAUUUUUUCUUAUCUGUACCAGUUUAAUGUUUUUCAUCUGUAUGUUAUUAUUUUCAACACAUUGUCAUUUAUUUGUUUUCUAGAAAAGUUGUCUGUUACACUUUCUGACUCCACACAUACUUCGGUCCCUGAAGAAGGAAACCCGAAACGCGUUGGGCCCAGUAUUUAUAUUGUGGACUCUUCACAUUUUUCCAAUACACCCCAUUAAUGUGUUGUUUUUAAACCUUUGUACUAUAUACGUUUACUGAACGUUGUUUGAUACCGUCCUGUUAUUAUUAAACUAUUAUAUAUUUUGUAUCUA